rnacentral:rRNA from 1 species
GACGAACGCUGGCGGCGUGCCUAAUACAUGCAAGUAGAACGCACAGUUUAUACCGUAGCUUGCUACACCAUAAACUGUGAGUUGCGAACGGGUGAGUAACGCGUAGGUAACCUGCCUGGUAGCGGGGGAUAACUAUUGGAAACGAUAGCUAAUACCGCAUAAUAUUGAUUAUUGCAUGAUAAUUGAUUGAAAGAUGCUAUUGCAUCACUACCAGAUGGACCUGCGUUGUAUUAGCUAGUAGGUGAGGUAACGGCUCACCUAGGCGACGAUACAUAGCCGACCUGAGAGGGUGAUCGGCCACACUGGGACUGAGACACGGCCCAGACGCCUACGGGAGGCAGCAGUAGGGAAUCUUCGGCAAUGGACGAAAGUCUGACCGAGCAACGCCGCGUGAGUGAAGAAGGUUUUCGGAUCGUAAAGCUCUGUUGUAAGAGAAGAACGGGUGUGAGAGUGGAAAGUUCACACUGUGACGGUAGCUUACCAGAAAGGGACGGCUAACUACGUG